UUAGAGCUCCCGAGCGCGAUCUCUCGCCUGUGACAUUCGGUAGGUUGGGUGCACAGUGCGUGCGUUUGUGGCAUAAGCUAGUUACAAAUGCGCGAUGCCUGUAUCGGGGCAUAGCUCUGAGUCAAGGACCAUCUGCAGUGCGCAUGUUUGCUCUUAGGGGGUCUCCUUAUUCUCCGUCCCCAAGCAUCGGCCGGCCGUGGGCCAGGGGGAGCAGCCAGCAAGGGGGAGGCGGGUGCGCGUCUGUGGUCAGAGGCCUUGUCUGGGACGUGCUUGGCUGGCAAUCUGCAGGAAGCGCUGGGAAAGCCAAACAAAAGAAAUUUCCCAUUUUCGAGGUCUGGUGAAAUCAUCCCUGCAUGGAGGAGGACAGCGACGCGCAGAGCAGGCAGCCCAGUGGAAAGGCUCCUGGCUGCUACGUGGGGGCAGCUGAGCCAAGACACAGGUCAUCGUCCUUCCGGCCCCGGGCUCUCAGGGGACAACAGUGUGUGCUUUUUAAAUAAGAAAGGAAAACAGCUCUGGAAUUGAUCCCCGAGUAAUUUAAUCACCUUUUGUCCAGACAAUUCCGAGCUGGCUCAAGCACUGUCUACGCGUUGACACGCAUACUGUUUCCAGCAACAGACAAAGACAGAAGGACAUGGGGAGCCUCAUGGACACCCCCUCCCCACCCCGUCUCUGCUGGGAGAAGCCUUGGGCAGAGGACCGCGUCUGGGCCAGACCACCUUGCAGAUCACCCCCGACAGUGGUAUUGAGGGCCGUAGAGGCCAACCCCUGCCUUGGAAUAAAUGAGAACGGAUGCUCAGAAAAGGCGUCUCCGCCUCUUCCACCCAGAAGCAGUGAGGUCUUGGCUAACCGGUGCCCCACCUUGGAGACCCUGUGUUGCACAUGGAAGGCUGUUCUCUAUGCUGCCUUCAUUCGCACACUCCACGUCCACUUCCUAGACACCCGCUGACUGCCGGACUCGGUACACAGAUGAGCUGAACUAAGGAAAGGAACAGCAGGUGCCGUAGGCUGGAAAGAUGGUGACCUCCCGCAGGUGAGACAGGUGUCUCCCACACUGUCACGACUCAUGCUGAGAGUCUGCCAACAGCCAGCACGCAAGUGAGGUGUUCCCAGACUGUGCAGCCACCAGUCCGCCUGCCCACUGCCACAGAUCACGAGGGUGCCAGAGGGGCUCAGCUGGCCAGCAGAAACACCCAUCUGCCCGCACAGUUCCGAGCUGAACCCAGUGGAAUGAUUGUUACUUUAAGCCACCAACGUGGGGGCGUGGUUUGUCACACAGCACAAGUUCACCGAUUCAGCAAGGAAGGCAUUUUUUUUAUCCCAAGGCACUACAAAAAGUUCAUGGCCAAUAGGAUUGUAGCAAACGUUUAUUUUUAAAGAGACUUCAAAGUCCAGGCGUAGUGUUUUCAUACCACACAUUUUCCGUGAACUUUUUGAAGACCCCUCACAUAAGACCUGUGACCCAGAUUCCUCGAUUGCAUUUUCCCUGUAACCCCAUGAAGCAGAGAACGUGCUCCCCACUUCAGAGUCGAGGGAGCUGGGGUGGGAGGAGUUAAGGUACUGGCUAGAUCAGAGAAGCGGUGGAGCAGGAGAACCCGACUCUUCGAGGGACAGCCUGCUCAGGAGGACCCUGCCCCCGCCCCAGGGGAAGGUGGGUGCAGCAGGGCCCGUGGGAACUGUCCCUUUACAGGUCCAGCAUCCCUGGUGUGCAGCUGCACUACCACCUGGAGGCUUCCCUCCUGGAGCCCCGCGCAGCCGCGAGCUGGGUCCAGAACGCCUUAACGAAGAUGGGGUCGUGAUGGAAGGUUUAAGGAGAGGGAGCUGAAAUGCCUCAUAAGACCAGCUUAUGGGAGCCUGCUUCUAAAUGAUCAAUUCCAAUCUCAUUAUGACCGCAGCUGCCAUUAACUCAGGAGCUAAUUGCUAUUAGCUUACAGAAACUCAAGAGGGCUUAGCUGCAAAAGUUCCACGACACGGGGCCAUCUCCCUGCUUAAAUGGCCACACUGCUGUUAUUAAUUCCAUGUGACUAUUAGCUUAUGACUGCUAAGUUAUGAUAACUUUGUGUAAAGUCCUUGAACCGGAUGCACGCCCUGCACGCGCAUUUCAUUACGGAGAGCAGAGUGCACUCGGAGGUUCAAUAUUUUAAUUUUCAUUUUUCUUGAAGGUAUAGGCUUAUUAAAAGGCAUCGGGAAGGUUCUGGGUUUGGAAGACGGCUCUGAGAGCAGAGGCUCUAACAGAAACCAGGCUCUGUGCAGCGUUCUGAUGCAAUUAAGAUCUUGGCAAGGGUGGAGUGGGGCUGAGCAACAGCACAUUUAAUCUCUGGAAGGGCCCUUGGAGAGGCUGGUCCGUGGGGAGUGACGAGAUGCGCGUUCUCGCUGGGGGAAACUGAGGACCACCGAGGAGAUGGGACUCAGCUAAGACAAAGCCACGCGGCUUCAGGCAGAUGGCACUCCCUGAGCCAGCCAGGUCUCUGUUUUAGAUUAAAAGUCUGCUGAAGAUGCCAGAGCUGGGCGCUCCCCAACUCUAGACAAUUACAGCAAGGUCCCCCAUCUUCCCUGUGAGAAAUGCCUGCGCGCUCAGGACACAGCCAAGAUGCAAUUACUCACUCCUU